AAAAACAUUGCCUCUCGACUCAACAAUGAGAGGUUCAUCCUGCCCAAUGACAACAUAGUUUAAUGGCCGCGGUACCCUGACCGUGCAAAGGUAGCAUAAUCAUUUGCCCCUUAAUUAGGGGCUAGCAUGAAAGGACACACGAAAGCUUCCCUGUCUCACAAUAACAAAUAAAAAUUAAUCUUCAAGUGAAAAAGCUUGAAUGAAACUGCAGGACAAGAAGACCCCGUUGAGCUUUAUUCUCUAUAGACUAAAUCAAAUAUUAAAUAUAUUAUAAACCUAAAAAGAAUUUAGUUGGGGUGACUAAGGAACACCAAAAACUUCCUUUUAUUAAUUAGGAUUAUUCUCCAUAUAAAUUGACCCAUUACAUAUGAUCAAAAAAAUAAGCUACCACAGGGAUAACAGGCUAAUCUUUCUCAAGAGCCCAAAUUGUCAGAAAGGAUUGGCACCUCGAUGUUGGCUUAGGGGCCCCUAAUGGUGCAGAAGCCAUAAAUGGUAGGUUUGUUCAACCUUUAAAACCCUAC
rnacentral:rRNA from 2 species